rnacentral:rRNA from 1 species
GACGAAGGGGGCUAGCGUUGUUCGGAAUUACUGGGCGUAAAGCGCGUGUAGGCGGUUGUUCAAGUCAGGUGUGAAAGCCUUGAGCUCAACUCAAGAAAUGCACUUGAUACUGGAUAACUAGAGGACCGGAGAGGAUAGUGGAAUUUCCAGUGUAGUGGUGAAAUACGUAGAGAUUGGGAAGAACACCAGUGGCGAAGGCGGCUAUCUGGACGGUUUCUGACGCUAAGACGCGAAAGCGUGGGGAGCAAACAGG